AAUAACCAUAAAUUCUGGCUGGAUUGAGUGUCGGGUUAGUCACGACUCGCACAUUUUCCACGGCUGGGUCGUACAAACCGCCGAAGUACAUUGCUUUGGCGACCAAUAAGAACGCACCUAUCCCCAGCAAUACCAGGUGAAUGCCAAGAAUUGUCGUCAUUUUGCCUGUAUCUGCCCA
rnacentral:antisense_RNA from 1 species